rnacentral:rRNA from 1 species
GACGAACCGUGCGAACGUUAUUCGGAAUCACUGGGCUUAAAGCGCGUGUAGGCGGGCCGGCACGUCGGUCGCUGAAAUCCCCCGGCUCAACCGGGGAAGGGGCGCCGAUACGACCGGCCUGGAGGGACGUAGGGGGGGGCCGGAACUUCCGGUGGAGCGGUGAAAUGCGUUGAGAUCGGAAGGAACGCCCGUGGCGAAAGCGGGCCCCUGGACGUCUACUGACGCUGAGACGCGAAAGCCAGGGGAGCGAACGGG